AACGAACGCUGGCGGCAGGCCUAACACAUGCAAGUCGAGCGGACCCUUCGGGGUUAGCGGCGGACGGGUGAGUAACGCGUGGGAAUAUGCCCUUCUCUACGGAAUAGUCCUGGGAAACUGGGGGUAAUACCGUAUACGCCCUUUGGGGGAAAGAUUUAUCGGGGAAGGAUUAGCCCGCGUUGGAUUAGGUAGUUGGUGGGGUAAUGGCCUACCAAGCCGACGAUCCAUAGCUGGUUUGAGAGGAUGAUCAGCCACACUGGGACUGAGACACGGCCCAGACCCCUACGGGAGGCAGCAGUGGGGAAUCUUAGACAAUGGGGGCAACCCUGAUCCAGCCAUGCCGCGUGAGUGAUGAAGGCCUUAGGGUUGUAAAGCUCUUUCAGCUGGGAAGAUAAUGACGGUACCAGCAGAAGAAGCCCCGGCUAACUCCGUG
rnacentral:rRNA from 1 species